GUUUUCUAUGUAUUUAUAAAUAUUUAUAUGUUAUAUGUACCUAUAUAUCGGUGGUGGCCGAGUGGAUAUGCCGCCCGACUUUCAAUCCGGAGGUCGCGGGUUCAAAUCCUGGCUCGUACUAAUGAGUUUUUCGGAACUUAUGUACGAAAUAUCAUUUGAUAUUUACCACUAGCUUUUCGGUGAAGGAAAACAUCGUGAGGAAACCUGCAUACAUCUGCGAAGAAAUUCAAAGGUGUAUGUGAAGUCCCCAAUCCGCAUUGGGCUAGCGUGGGGACUAUAGCCCAAGCCCUCUCGCGCAUGAGAGGAGGCCUGUGCCCAGCAGUGGGACGUAUAAAGGCUGAAUUAUUAUUAUUAUUUUGC